GGCCGCGAAUUCGCCCUUAGGGUUUGAUUAUGGCUCAGAUUGAACGCUGGCGGCAGGCCUAACACAUGCAAGUCGAGCGGUAACAGGAGAAAGCUUGCUUUCUUGCUGACGAGCGGCGGACGGGUGAGUAAUGUAUGGGGAUCUGCCCGAUAGAGGGGGAUAACUACUGGAAACGGUGGCUAAUACCGCAUAAUGUCUACGGACCAAAGCAGGGGCUCUUCGGACCUUGCACUAUCGGAUGAACCCAUAUGGGAUUAGCUAGUAGGUGGGGUAAAGGCUCACCUAGGCGACGAUCUCUAGCUGGUCUGAGAGGAUGAUCAGCCACACUGGGACUGAGACACGGCCCAGACUCCUACGGGAGGCAGCAGUGGGGAAUAUUGCACAAUGGGCGCAAGCCUGAUGCAGCCAUGCCGCGUGUAUGAAGAAAGCCUUAGGGUUGUAAAGUACUUUCA
rnacentral:rRNA from 1 species